GGAAGGGUGAGGCGCGACUCUUCCGCCUAAGGCGGCCCCCGAAAAUGCCGACUUUCUUCUUUUGGCAGGCAUUAAGGGCCGAUAGCCCAGCUGGUUAGAGCACACGCGCAGCAUAAGCGGGAGGUCGGUGGCUCAAGUCCAUUUAGGCCCACCACCUUAUUUUAAAAGUUAUAAGCGCUGUCAUAAAAAAAAGUUCGUUGAAAAGUAGAUAAAC
rnacentral:misc_RNA from 1 species